rnacentral:tRNA from 2 species
GGGGCAGUAGCUCAGUUGGGAGAGCGCCUGCUUUGCAAGCAGGAGGUCGCCGGUUCGAUCCCGGUCUGCUCCA